GAUGAACGCUGGCGGCGUGCCUAAUACAUGCAAGUCGAGCGAACAGACGAGGAGCUUGCUCCUCUGACGUUAGCGGCGGACGGGUGUGUAACACGUGGAUAACCUACCUAUAAGACUGGGAUAACUUCGGGAAACCGGAGCUAAUACCGGAUAAUAUAUUGAACCGCAUGGUUCAAUAGUGAAAGACGGUUUUGCUGUCACUUAUAGAUGGAUCCGCGCCGCAUUAGCUAGUUGGUAAGGUAACGGCUUACCAAGGCAACGAUGCGUAGCCGACCUGAGAGGGUGAUCGGCCACACUGGAACUGAGACACGGUCCAGACUCCUACGGGAGGCAGCAGUAGGGAAUCUUACGCAAUGGGCGAAAGCCUGACGGAGCAACGCCGCGUGAGUGAUGAAGGUCUUCGGAUCGUAAAACUCUGUUAUUAGGGAAGAACAAAUGUGUAAGUAACUAUGCACGUCUUGACGGUACCUAAUCAGAAAGCCACGGCUAACUACGUG
rnacentral:rRNA from 1 species